rnacentral:rRNA from 2 species
ACUCUGGUAUUGAUUGGUGCUUGCAUCAUGAUUUACAUUUGAGUGAGUGGCGAACUGGUGAGUAACACGUGGGAAACCUGCCCAGAAGCGGGGGAUAACACCUGGAAACAGAUGCUAAUACCGCAUAACAACUUGGACCGCAUGGUCCGAGNUUGAAAGAUGGCUUCGGCUAUCACUUNUGGAUGGUCCCGCGGCGUAUUAGCUAGAUGGUGAGGUAACGGCUCACCAUGGCAAUGAUACGUAGCCGACCUGAGAGGGUAAUCGGCCACAUUGGGACUGAGACACGGCCCAAACUCCUACGGGAGGCAGCAGUAGGGAAUCUUCCACAAUGGACGAAAGUCUGAUGGAGCAACGCCGCGUGAGUGAAGAAGGGUUUCGGCUCGUAAAACUCUGUUGUUAAAGAAGAACAUAUCUGAGAGUAACUGUUCAGGUAUUGACGGUAUUUAACCAGAAAGCCACGGCUAACUACGUGCCAGCAGCCGCGGUAAUACGUAGGUGGCAAGCGUUGUCCGGAUUUAUUGGGCGUAAAGCGAGCGCAGGCGGUUUUUUAAGUCUGAUGUGAAAGCCUUCGGCUCAACCGAAGAAGUGCAUCGGAAACUGGGAAACUUGAGUGCAGAAGAGGACAGUGGAACUCCAUGUGUAGCGGUGAAAUGCGUAGAUAUAUGGAAGAACACCAGUGGCGAAGGCGGCUGUCUGGUCUGUAACUGACGCUGAGGCUCGAAAGUAUGGGUAGCAAACAGGAUUAGAUACCCUGGUAGUCCAUACCGUAAACGAUGAAUGCUAAGUGUUGGAGGGUUUCCGCCCUUCAGUGCUGCAGCUAACGCAUUAAGCAUUCCGCCUGGGGAGUACGGCCGCAAGGCUGAAACUCAAAGGAAUUGACGGGGGCCCGCACAAGCGGUGGAGCAUGUGGUUUAAUUCGAAGCUACCCGAAGAACCUUACCAGGUCUUGACAUACUAUGCAAAUCUAA